rnacentral:rRNA from 1 species
CGUGGGGGGUUCCUAUAAUGCAAGUCGAACGGUCUUUUCUAUGGAAGCUUGCUUCCACUGGGAAGAUAGUGGCGAACGGGUGAGUAACACGUGGGUAACCUGCCCAUAAGAGGGGGAUAACAUCCGGAAACGGGUGCUAAUACCGCAUAGUUUUCUUGAUCGCAUGAUUGAGAAAGGAAAGACGGCCUUUGUGCUGUCGCUUAUGGAUGGACCCGCGGCGUAUUAGUUAGUUGGUGAGGUAACGGCUCACCAAGACGAUGAUACGUAGCCGACCUGAGAGGGUGAUCGGCCACAUUGGGACUGAGACACGGCCCAAACUCCUACGGGAGGCAGCAGUAGGGAAUCUUCCGCAAUGGACGAAAGUCUGACGGAGCAACGCCGCGUGAGUGAAGAAGGUUUUCGGAUCGUAAAACUCUGUUGUCAGAGAAGAACAAGUCGGAGAGUAACUGCUCCGGCCUUGACGGUAUCUGACCAGAAAGCCACGGCUAACUACGUGCCAGCAGCCGCGGUAAUACGUAGGUGGCAAGCGUUGUCCGGAUUUAUUGGGCGUAAAGCGAGCGCAGGCGGUUCCUUAAGUCUGAUGUGAAAGCCCACGGCUCAACCGUGGAAGGUCAUUGGAAACUGGGGAACUUGAGUGCAGAAGAGGAGAGUGGAAUUCCAUGUGUAGCGGUGAAAUGCGUAGAUAUAUGGAGGAACACCAGUGGCGAAGGCGACUCUCUGGUCUGUAACUGACGCUGAGGCUCGAAAGCGUGGGGAGCAAACAGGAUUAGAUACCCUGGUAGUCCACGCCGUAAACGAUGAGUGCUAAGUGUUGGAGGGU